rnacentral:rRNA from 1 species
GUCUACGGCCAUACCGCACUGAGCACGCCCAAUCCUGUCUGACCUCGGAAGCUAAGCAGGGUUGAUAACCAGGGUCGGGCCUGGUUAAUACUUGGAUGGGAGACCACCUAAUUUUUUAUUGCUGUAGGCA